rnacentral:lncRNA from 1 species
GGAGGACAGCAGCAAUGGGGGCCUGGGCCUGGCAGUAGCCCUCCUCCGGGCGGUACAGAGUGUAGGCCUUCAGCACCCGAAACAGGUCCUGCUGCCCGUGGCCUCCACGCGAGACAAACAUCUCAUGGAAGGGGAACUGCCGAUGGAGAUCCCGCUCGAUCACGUCCAGCCACUUGGGCUCCCCCGGGAGGACAUCCAGCUCAUCAAACUUGCCAACGUUCUGCUCCAGCUUGACCUUGCUGCCGGACAGGUACUGCCACGCUCGGCCCCGCAACGAGGGUGGGAUCCCCUUCUGGCACCGCAGCCGGAUCUUCUUGUGUUUUUUGGCCAUCCACUUGUCCCAGUUGUUGAGCAUGUCCAGCCACUUGGACUCACGCUGUCGCAGCACCUCCAGGGGAACCUCCUCCAGUGCUCCCUCGGCGCUGCGGCUGCCCACGAUGAAGCCGAACUUAUCGACGCGGCGCUCCUCGGGGCCGCCGUUCACCUCCGAGUCGGAGCCCAGCGAGCUGAGCUCGUCGCCGCCCGCCUCCGCCAGGCUCUCGCGGGUGCCCGCCAGGCCCCGGGCGCUGCCGGGCGAGCCGGGCCCGCCGCCCCCGCGGCUCUUGGCCAUGGCGGCGGCUCAGCGGCGGCGCGGCCGCUCCUCCAUGCCGCGGCCACGGCGGCGGCCACGCCCCUCGCGGCCCGCCACGCCCCGCCACCGCCCCGCUAUUGGGUGAGGCGAGGGGGAGGAGGCGGGAGAAGGGGCUCGGCCAAUCGGAGGGAAGUGGGGGCUCGAUGGCCCGCCCGCCCGGAAAGGGGAUUGGGUGAGAGGCGCGGGAGAGCUGUCAGUCAGAGCGUCGCCCGCCUCCUCCGGGCCCGGUAGUGGCAGAGAGGGGCGGGGCCGCGGGGGCG